ACUAACAAGGAUUCCCUU
rnacentral:snRNA from 1 species